rnacentral:rRNA from 1 species
GAUGAACGCUGGCGGCGUGCCUAAUACAUGCAAGUCGAGCGAAUGGAUUAAGAGCUUGCUCUUAUGAAGUUAGCGGCGGACGGGUGAGUAACACGUGGGUAACCUGCCCAUAAGACUGGGAUAACUCCGGGAAACCGGGGCUAGUACCGGAUAACAUUUUGAACCGCAUGGUUCGAAAUUGAAAGGCGGCUUCGGCGGUCACUUAUGGAUGGACCCGCGUCGCAUUAGCUAGUUGGUGAGGUAACGGCUCACCAAGGCAACGAUGCGUAGCCGACCUGAGAGGGUGAUCGGCCACACUGGGACUGAGACACGGCCCAGACUCCUACGGGAGGCAGCAGUAGGGAAUCUUCCGCAAUGGACGAAAGUCUGACGGAGCAACGCCGCGUGAGUGAUGAAGGCUUUCGGGUCGUAAAACUCUGUUGUUAGGGAAGAACAAGUGCUAGUUGAAUAAGCUGACACCUUGACGGUACCUAACCAGAAAGCCACGGCUAACUACGUGCCAGCCGCCGCCGUAA